UUUAAAAAAUAUUAACAUUUUUUUCAAAUUGGUCCUACGUAUUAUAGAUUAUUUUCAUUUCAUUAAUGUAAAAAUAAGCCAACAAGGCCCAUUAUUAAAUAUUACAAAAAUUAUACAAAAUAUGCUAACACCUCAGAUUUGGUAAAGGGGAGCCCUUCCCCAACACAAACAAACACCAUUGAUAAAAACGACGAAUCCAUAUAAAUUCCUACCUUUGCAUAAAGUAACUCUUCACUUGACAUUAUUUGGGAAUUUAUGGAUAUUUAAUUUCCACAUUCGUUUGGUUUCCAAAAUAAAAUCAAAAGUUGAUACUACGUUCCAUAACUGCCGAAAAAACAAACAGCCAAUUCUAUAGCAGCCAAUUCUUUCCAAAACUGUAUGAAUACCAAAUUUAUUUUUAUCGAAUAUGUUAAAUAUGUUUAAAUAAAAAAUGAAGGAAAACGAAAAAAAUACUUUUUGUAGUAUAUAUUGCUUUAACGGGAGAUUUGUACAAAAGUAAAUUUUUCCUUCUUGAAACCGAGAAA